rnacentral:rRNA from 1 species
GACGAACGCUGGCGGCGUGCUUAACACAUGCAAGUCGAACGGGCUGCCUGGUUUUCGGAUCGGGUGGUGAGUGGCGAACGGGUGAGUAACACGUGAGUAACCUGCCCCUCUCUUUGGGAUAACGUCGGGAAAUCGGCGCUAAUACCGGGUAUUCUGGCUUCCUCGCAUGGGGUUGUUGGGAAAGGUUUUUUCUGGUGGGGGAUGGGCUCGCGGCCUAUCAGCUUGUUGGUGGGGUGAUGGCCUACCAAGGCGGUGACGGGUAGCCGGCCUGAGAGGGUGUCCGGCCACACUGGGACUGAGACACGGCCCAGACUCCUACGGGAGGCAGCAGUGGGGAAUAUUGCACAAUGGGCGGAAGCCUGAUGCAGCGACGCCGCGUGGGGGAUGACGGCCUUCGGGUUGUAAACCUCGUUCAGUGCAGAACAAGGCUCUUUGUGGGUUGAGGGUAGGCGCAGAAGAAGCGCCGGCUAACUACGUG